UGGAAGAUUGCGUUUGACUCACAGAGA
rnacentral:sRNA from 1 species